rnacentral:rRNA from 1 species
CCUACGGGAGGCAGCAGUGGGGAAUUUUGGACAAUGGGCGAAAGCCUGAUCCAGCAAUGCCGCGUGCAGGAAGAAGGCCUUCGGGUUGUAAACUGCUUUUGUACGGAACGAAACGGUCUGCUUUAAUACAGUGGGCUAAUGACGGUACCGUAAGAAUAAGCACCGGCUAACUACGUGCCAGCAGCCGCGGUAAUACGUAGGGUGCGAGCGUUAAUCGGAAUUACUGGGCGUAAAGCGUGCGCAGGCGGUUAUAUAAGACAGUUGUGAAAUCCCCGGGCUCAACCUGGGAAUUGCAUCUGUGACUGUAUAGCUAGAGUACGGUAGAGGGGGUAUGGAAUUCCGCGUGUAGCAGUGAAAUGCGUAGAUAUGCGGAGGAACACCGAUGGCGAAGGCAAUCCCCUGGACCUGUACUGACGCUCAUGCACGAAAGCGUGGGGAGCAAACAGGAUUAGAUACCCUGGUAGUCCACGCCCUAAACGAUGUCAACUGGUNUUGGGUGNNUAUACUCAGUACGAGACACGCGUGAGUAGACGCCGUGGUAGGUACGGCCGCGAGUAGUAACGUACGAAGAAGUUAGACGGCGUGAGACGUGACCGACGGACGACGACGAGGGAGGAGG